AGAAAUCCUCCAGCCCUGUUAGAAAUGCCUCAGCCAGGGGGACUCAUCUCCUCAAACCUGGGGGACCGAGACCUAUGAGAGGUCACAGCAUGAGCCAGGACAUCGGAGGUACCCAGACAUUGUUAUGAAACUCCGCAUGUGCCCCUGGUGGACGCUGCUGGACCCAGCAUGCACACUUCUCGGCUAAGAGUCACCCUGGAUGAACCACCAUUGCCAGCGGGGAGCAUGUUGCAGCUUUCCCACGCAGUGGAUGAGAACGAAGGUUACGACCAUUGUGUGGGAGGCGUCUGUGUAGCAAUUGCUGGAAUCACUUGUGGCAUUGUAGAAAGACUGAGCGUGGGAAAGAAGACGCAUUCUGAAGUCACCCCGAUUUAUGUUAAAUUAUCACCUUGACUACUGCUAUAGAACGAAUGUUUAUGUCCCCCACCCAAAUUCGUAUGCUAAGACCUAAUAGCCAAUAAGAUAGUAUUAAUAGAUGGGGCCUUUGGGAGGUGAGUGGCUCAUGAGGGCAGAGUCCUCAAAACCAGAUAAGUGCCCGAAUAAAAGGGGCCCCAGAGAGAUCCCUUGCACCGUCUACCAUGUGAAGUGUAGAACACAGCGAGAAGGCCACCUAUGAGCCAGAACGUGGGCCCUCACCAGAACCCAGUUGUGCUGGCACCCUGAUCCUGGACUUCCAGCCUCCAAAAUGACGACAAAGAAGUUUGUUUUUCCUGAGCCAUCCACUUCAAAGUAUUCUGUCAUAGCUCCCCAAAUAGACUAAGACAUCUACUUAACCUUGGUCAAACGUUUAACCUUGGAGUCCACGCCUCUGAAAUGGUGACAAUAACACUGUGUAUUUCCUACUUUAUGAUCAGGAUUAAUAAAUGUAAUUUAUUAAUCAGAAAUUAGUAAUUUCUGAUUAUUAAUUCUAUGGUGCUUGAUACUUGAUUGAGGCUUAUUUAAUAUUUGGAUCUCUUUUAAUUUUUUUCUUUUUUGCUCUUUCUUUCUGCUUUUCCUCUUCCCCUUUUCCUAUUGAAAUAGAAUGCAGAGGAUAAAGCAAGCAAACAAAAAAACUUCCAGAAGAAUCACAGAGUUUUAGACCUAGAAAAAAACUGAAAAAUCAUCCAUUCCACUCUCCUCAUUUUACAGAUGAGGGCAUCGAGCCUCAGAGAAAUGAAACUUGCCCAAGACCACACAGCAAAGAGACGUAUUUUAAAGAAUUGGCUCGUGGGAUUGUGGGGCCUGGAAAUCUGAAAUCUGCAGAGAAAGCCAGCAGGCUGGAAAUUCAGGAAGUGGCGAGGAAAGAAGAAUGAAGACAAAGAAUAUGGAGUUUCCAUUGAUUUAGCCAAGUCCAUAACAGAAGAAAAGUGCCUUCCUUCGGAACUUCCAAUACAAUGUGUGAGAAUGGACCUGUUACAACUUGUAUUACUCGCAGGGUUCCCCCACUACCAAGAAUAGGGGUGGCCUUAGAAGGCACUCUGAAGCAAGAAUCAGCAAGUGACUGAAUCUAUGAGACUCGUAUUGAUCAGCCUCAAAAGAAAUGAGUCCUACCUUCUCGGUCUCUUAAGAAAUUCAUUCUCUUGAAAAGCAAUUCAAAAAGAGCUUUCCCUAAUACACAUUAGAUAAACAAUGAGAUAUCCUCCUAGCUUUCUCUUGGGAAACUUUCACUUUAUAUCUUUUCAAUUUAUUCUCAUCUUUUUUUUUGUUCCUUCCUUCCCUACUUUUAGGCUUUGUCGUUCAAAAGCUAGCUCGUAGAAUUUUUUUAAAUCUUUGUAUUCAUAUAUCCCUAACUAGAGCAUGAUCUUUUUCUGGCUGGUGGAUCCUCCCCAGAAUGUUUGCAUGUAUUAGGGCUCCAGUGAAUAGGUGUUGGUCAUGAGGAAGGAUGACCAGCUAAGGGAGCUAAUGGCUUAGACAGACACUGUAGAAUUGCAAGGAAUAGAGAUGUGCUCAAGAUACCUUGGUUGGCGAGGUUUAUUGUUGCAGAAACACACUGGGUGGUAGCCAGUCAACCAAGACGGCGGCCAUCAAUUCCUUACCUUUCUUUGUGUACAUGCUGCACCCCAUGACCAAAGGUAGGGCCUUUUUUCUCCUCCCUUGUAUUUCGACUGGCCUCAUACCUUGCUUUCAACAGUGAAAUGUAACAGUGGUGAAGUUGGACUUGUUCCAAGCCUAGACUUUAAGCCUUCUGUUUCCUACUUCUUAGAAGCCAGUCACCAUGCAAGAAGCCUGCCUACCCAGUAACCAGCUGUGAGAAGUCCAAGCUGGCUACACAAAGGGGGGGACACUGAGGUGCCAGACAGGUGGGUAAGGCCUGCCUGAACCUUCCAGCUCUGCCCAACACUCAGCUGAAUGCAGUGAAUCAGCCAGCCCAGCUGAGAACACAGUGAGCAGAGGUUCUGAUCCUGCCUGGAUUCCAGACCCACAGAAUCCAGAGAAAUCAUGUGACUUUAAGCCACUAACUUUUGCAAUAGAUUAAUGUACAACAAUAGAUAAAACACACAGAAAAGUCAAGAAAAUGUUUUUGAAGAAAAGUGAUCUCCGUAGGUUAACUGCAGUUGGUUAAUACUAAUUUAUUGUAUAUUUCAAAAUAGCUAGAAGAUAAUAAUUAGAAUGUUCCUAGCAUAAAGAAAAGACAAUUUAAGGUGAUGGAUAUGCCAAUUACACUGAUUUGAUCUUUACACAUUAUAUGAAUGUAUUCAAUUAUCACAUGUACCCUGAAAAUAUGUACAUCUAUUAUGUGUAAUAAAAAUAAAUCAAAACUUUUUAAAGAAUAAAAAGCGGUCGCACAUCUAAACAGGGC
rnacentral:lncRNA from 1 species